rnacentral:rRNA from 1 species
GACGAACGCUGGCGGCGUGCUUAACACAUGCAAGUCGAACGGAAAGGCCCUGCUUGCAGGGUACUCGAGUGGCGAACGGGUGAGUAACACGUGGGUGAUCUGCCCUGCACUUCGGGAUAAGCCUGGGAAACUGGGUCUAAUACCAGAUAGGAGCCAUUUUUAGUGUGAUGGUUGGAAAGUUUUUUCGGUGUAGGAUGAGCUCGCGGCCUAUCAGCUUGUUGGUGGGGUAAUGGCCUACCAAGGCGGCGACGGGUAGCCGGCCUGAGAGGGUGGACGGCCACAUUGGGACUGAGAUACGGCCCAGACUCCUACGGGAGGCAGCAGUGGGGAAUAUUGCACAAUGGGCGCAAGCCUGAUGCAGCGACGCCGCGUGGGGGAUGACGGCCUUCGGGUUGUAAACUCCUUUCGCUAGGGACGAAGCUUUUUGUGACGGUACCUAGAGAAGAAGCACCGGCUAACUACGUG